CCUACGGGUGGCAGCAGUGGGGAAUAUUGCGCAAUGGACGCAAGCCUGACACAGCGACGCCGCGUGAGGGAUGACUGCCCUAUGGGUUGUAAACUUCUUUUGUAUGGGGAUAAAAUGAUCCACGUGUGGGAUUUUGUAUGUACCAUAUGAAUAAGGAUCGGCUAACUCCGUGCCAGCAGCCGCGGUAAUACGGAGGAUCCGAGCGUUAUCCGGAUUUAUUGGGUUUAAAGGGUGCGUAGGUGGUUGGUUAAGUUAGUUGUGAAAGUUUGGGGCUCAACUGUAAAAUUGCAGUUGAAACUGGUAGGCUUGAGUACAGUUGAGGUGGGCGGAAUGCGUGGUGUAGCGGUGAAAUGCUUAGAGAUCACGAAGAACUCCGAUUGCGAAGGCAGCUCACUGGACUACAACUGACAUUGAGGCUCGAAAGUGUGGGUAUCAAACAGGAUUAGAUACCCGUGUAGUC
rnacentral:rRNA from 1 species